GGGUCAGUAGGUUGGUCGUGCCACCGGUACGUACUGGUCUCACUGAUUCCUCCUUCCUGAAGAACCGUAAUGCCAUUAAUUUGGUGUUGCGGGGAAACAGGACUGUUACUUUGAAAAAAUUAUAGUGUUUAAAGCAAGCUAACGCUUGAAUACAUUAUCAUGGAAUAAUGAAAUAGGACGAUCGAUCCUAUUUUGUUGGUUUCUAGGAUUGACGUA
rnacentral:rRNA from 1 species